rnacentral:rRNA from 1 species
UACGUAGGUGGCAAGCGUUGUCCGGAAUUAUUGGGCGUAAAGCGCGCGCAGGUGGUUUCUUAAGUCUGAUGUGAAAGCCCACGGCUCAACCGUGGAGGGUCAUUGGAAACUGGGGAACUUGAGUGCAGAAGAGGAAAAGUGGAAUUCCAAGUGUAGCGGUGAAAUGCGUAGAGAUUUGGAGGAACACCAGUGGCGAAGGCGACUUUCUGGUCUGUAACUGACACUGAGGCGCGAAAGCGUGGGGAGCGAACAGG